UACGUAGGGUGCGAGCGUUGUCCGGAAUUAUUGGGCGUAAAGGGCUCGUAGGCGGUUUGUCGCGUCGGGAGUGAAAACCCAGGGCUUAACUCUGGGCUUGCUUUCGAUACGGGCAGACUAGAGGUAUGCAGGGGAGAACGGAAUUCCUGGUGUAGCGGUGAAAUGCGCGGAUAUCAGGAGGAACACCGGUGGCGAAGGCGGUUCUCUGGGCAUUACCUGACGCUGAGGAGCGAAAGUGUGGGGAGCGAACAGG
rnacentral:rRNA from 1 species